CCUACGGGACGCAGCAGUGGGGAAUAUUGCACAAUGGGGGAAACCCUGAUGCAGCAACGCCGCGUGAGUGAUGACAGCCUUCGGGUUGUAAAGCUCUGUCUUCAGGGACGAUAAUGACGGUACCUGAGGAGGAAGCCACGGCUAACUACGUACCAGCAGCCGCGGUAAUACGUAGGUGGCGAGCGUUGUCCGGAUUUACUGGGCGUAAAGGGAGCGUAGGCGGACUUUUAAGUGAGAUGUGAAAUACCCGGGCUCAACUUGGGUGCUGCAUUUCAAACUGAAGUCUAGAGUGCAGGAGAGGAGAAUGGAAUUCCUAGUGUAGCGGUGAAAUGCAUAGAGAUUAGGAAGAACACCAGUGGCGAAGGCGAUUCUCUGGACUGUAACUGACGCUGAGGCUCGAAAGCGUGGGGAGCAAACAGGAUUAGAUACCCCCGUAGUC
rnacentral:rRNA from 1 species